GCCGGGCUCAGUGGAACAUGCCUGUAGUCACAGCUACUCGGGAGGCUGAGGUGGGAGGAUCGCUUGAGCGUGGGAGUUCUGGGCUGUAGUACAUUAUGCUGAUUAGGUGUCCCCGCUAAGUUUGGCAUCAAUAUGGUGACCUCCUGGGAGUGGGGGACCACCAGAUUGCCUAAGGAGGGGUAACUGGCCCAGGUCAGAAACAGAGCAGGUCAAAACUCCUGUGCUGAUCAGUAGUGGGAUCGCACCUGUGAAUAGCCACUGAACUCCAGCCCGGGCAACAUAGCGAGANNNNNNNNNN
rnacentral:SRP_RNA from 1 species